rnacentral:lncRNA from 1 species
GAACCACAAUCCGUCAAACCCUCCGCAGUCGAAGAACUACAACCCCUCCGCCGUUGUUCUUUGCUUUUCCAAGGUAUGGAAUAACUUCAUCUCUCUACCGUUCCAAUGUAUUGAUUGAUUGCAUGUUGUUUCUCUUUAGCUUGCUUUUAUACUGCGUUUUCUAACUAAUGGGUCAAACAAGAGAUGAACUUGAUGACAACACAAUAAUUUUUUAGUUAACCUUUGUGAAGUUCAAUUUGCAAUUUGUGGCAUAUAGCGAGG